AUUUUCACCCGAAGCUCUCUGUAAAGCCAGAGCCUGUGCCUAUUGCCGUCAUCAUUCUCUGAAGAGCUCAGACACAAGUACCAGCUGUGUAGCUCAAGCCCUUGCUGGAGAGGUGGUAAUGGGUCUAUUCUUAGCGAUCAUACUGUGAUGGUUUCUCUGCCUUGCGGGACUCCUGUCAUCGCAUCCAGAAAAGAGCAGUGAGGCGCUUCCUGGGAGCCGAAUAUUGUGGCUAGAGAGGCAGCCCUUGCCUUCCAGGCACUUCCAUCCGGGAGGAAGAAUGCAGAUAUACUGGUCAUCGUGUAUUCAGUUCCAUACAAGGAGAAAUUAAAAUCACGGCAUGGUGGCUGGUUUUCCUUUUCUCAUUCUUCACAGACAGUGGGAGGAUAUGACUCUGGAAAAUUAACAUCAAGUGCUUGUGAGGAAGACGGGCCUUCCCACGAAGAGCUGAAUACCCACCCCAUGCCUGCAGUUGGGGAUGUUUUAUCAUUGGGUCACAACUACCAGCGUGUGAGGCGCGGAUGAUAUGGAAUCACUUCAAGUUUUGUAUUAGGAACAAAACAAAGCAACACAACCCUUGAAGCUGGCCUGUCCCCAGGGAUACAUAUUCUUCAAAGAAAUCCCCAAUACCAACCACUGUAGCAAGAAGUCUAUGUUACAUGGAUGGGUACUAUGUCUGUCCAAGGGGAUUCAUUGCUAGAGAAUCAGCAAACAUUCAGUUAACAGUAACCAUGCUGCUGCUACUUCUAAUAAGAUCCCAUGUGUUUCUCCCUGCCCCCAGCCCUGGAGUGUGUAGAUUUUUCCUAGCAUUGCAGAAUUUGACUCAAUGCUGUUCAAUUAUUUGCCCUGUUGAAGAAAAUCCCUGGUCCCUCCAUUUCAAAGUACAAAUUUUGUUCCAUGAAGAAGCCUAGCAAAUACAAGACUGGAGAGCUGCCACACCGCUCAACCUUCUAUCUUGGACAGAGGUGGUACCUCACCCUCUCUCCCUUCCUUCCAAGAGACUGGGUCCUUCAGUCUAGUGUUGGCCCUCAGUUCCUCCUUCACAGACGCUGCAAUGAACUUGAUUUAGUAAGUUACCUGGGCAUCCUUUUGUUCUCCUGCAGCUGAUCAUUUCCUCCAACUCUACCAUUCUUUUUUCAAUCUUUUCUUCUACGUUCUGCUGCCAUUGGCUGCUUUCGGUCCUUCACAGCAUCCUCUGCAGUCUCCAGGUUGUCUAUUGCAUCUGGUAUUCAUCUUGUCCAAAUGUCCCUGAUUUGUGCCACCAGGAGGAGGUGAUGGAUUGAAUCCCAAGACCCGCUGCAGCUCCUCCUUAGGGGUUUUCACAUGGAUAAACAUGUGGUCCAUGCUUUACGAACUCCUUCCUCCUCCCUUGUCACAUGACUGGCCUACAUUUCCCCAUCCGCUGUGUAUUGAGCUGGAGCAGAUAACUCGAGUUCUGUGCUGAAGGAUGUUCAGAAAAUGACUAGUCCCUAAGGAACACCAGCUACAGGCAGACAACAGCAAAGCUGAGUUGAGCUGUCAGCAUUGGAGAUAAAAGUUUUGGAUUCUUGAGGAGGGAAGUUGCCCACCGUGAAGUCAAACUUCUGCCUACAUCAGGAGGAGAUGCACAUGUAUAUGGAAGUAUUUGGCUCUAUUUAUAACUUUAAAAAAUAUCCCAGAUCAAAGCCUGUAUUCCAUUUGGUCUCUAAGCCCUUUCAUAAGUACCUCUUUCCUACUUGGCGCUACCUCGGUUCUCCUGACCUCUCUGUUAGCCCCGAGCAUGCCCAUUCCUGCCUUCCUGCUCAUGCCUGCUGCUUCUCCUGCCCUCUGCCUUCGUUUCCUUUGCUCAUCUCGAUUUGCAGCUUUUCCAGGAAGACCUCUAGACACUUUUACUCCGCGCUCCUCUCUCUAGCUCAGCAACAGACUGGGUCACUCUUGAGUUGGUUUGAGCUAGUCCUUUCUGGCCUCUAAGGCAAGAAGAGUCCCCUGGGCACAGGUCCUCUGUUCUGGGUAUAAAAUACAGGCUGAGGAUGUGUGGGUAGGUUGCCAUCUCAAGCAUGCGGACUCUGUUCCUCGGAAUGAAUCACGUGUGGUGUGUUCUCCAGUAGACAAUUUGCUUGUUCAAUAAAAGGCUCACUGGGUGUC